AAAUGAAUAGACGGGGGCUCACACAAGCGGUGGAGCAUGUGGAUUAAUUCGAAGCAACGCGCAGAACCUUACCUGGGUUUGACAUGCUUGGAUGCCUUCCGGGAAACCGGAUCAGGCUGCCUUCGGGUGAAACUUGCACAGGUGCUGCAUGGCUGUCGUCAGCUCGUGUCGUGAGAUGUCGGGUUAAGUCCUUUAACGAGCGAAACCCCUGCCGUUAGUUACCAGCGGGUCAUGCCGGGAACUCUAGCGGGACUGCCGGUGUUAAACCGGAGGAAGGUGGGGAUGACGUCAAGUCCUCAUGGCCUUUAUGCCCAGGGCUUCACACGUGCUACAAUGGCAAUUACAGAGCGACGCAAUACCGCGAGGUGGAGCAAAUCGCAAAAAAGUUGCCUCAGUUCAGAUUGCAGGCUGGCAACUCGCCUGCAUGAAGUCGGAAUCGCUAGUAAUCGCGAAUCAGCGAUGUCGCGGUGAAUAUGUUCCUGAGCCUUGCACACACCGCCCGU
rnacentral:rRNA from 1 species